UUUCACUCAAUGACAAUAAAUCCAAAUUGCUCUCGGUCUUGAAUGACAACCAGAAGCAAAUGCCCCACACACUCGACCCCGGGCUCUCCCAUGCUCACUGAGGGGGAAAUAAUGUCAAAAGGAGUGCAAACUGGUGCAGAGGUUAGUAAUCCUGUUUUUAAAAAAAACCGAAAGAACUGCGGAAAUCAGAAACAAACACGGAAACUGCAGGUGUGGGCAACACUGGCUAGGCAGCAUUUUUUGCCCAUCCCUAAUUGUCCAGAGGGCAGUUGAGAGUCAAUCACUUUCCUGUGGGUUUCGAGUCACAUGUUAGCCAGACCAGGUGACUACACAAGGAGGCUUGAAGAGGACUUGGAUAAGCUGAGUGAACGGGCUAGAAUGUGGCAGAAGAAAACGAUGAAGAAAAGUCCAGACCCGAAAUAUCAGCUUUCCUGCUCCUCUGAUGCUGCCUGGCUUCCUGUGUUCAUCCAACUCUACACCUUGUUAUCUCCAGCAUCGGCAGUUCCUACUAUCUCAAAAUGUUAGGUCAUAUAUUUUUGCAGAAAAACAGAAUAUUUCUUUAAUGUUGGGAGUUUGGGAAGUACAGCAAGUUCGCUUGAAGCCAACUGCACCUUCCUCAUAACUUAGGUUUCCACCCAAUUUGGUGUCGACAGCAAAUCUGGAAGUAGUACAGUUGGUCCCUGCAUCACUUCCGCAGUUAACGGAAGAUCCUGUUAGCCCUAUGAAGCCGGUGAGCCUCUACUCUCAGCCAUAAUUGGCAUCCUUUGGCUGCAAAUGGGUGGCAGGAUAACAUCAGGCAGAAAUGCUUGGGACCAUCAGUGGUCUACAGCAGAAGAUGGAGUAUACCGUCCAAGUUUUUUUUACUGUCAUUACUCUAACAUGCAAGCACCUGGCUGCCUCAAUACAGGGGAUCAUCCAGCAGCUGCCAGAUAAACACCUGGAUCUACAUUUCAUCACUGGAUAGUAUCAGUGACAAGACACUAGGAUGAGACACCACAAUCUCCCUCCAUGUGUCCCUGUACCAGAGGAGAUGGGAAGCAAGAUAGGGCACGUGAAAGGAAGAGUGCAUCAGGCAGUUGUCCAAAGAGAAUUCAUCUCCGGACACUGAGAUUCCUUGCCCUUCCACCUUUCCUUUAGUAGUGACCUUGUAAUCUCCAGCAGAUCAGGUCAAAGAGGGUGCCUCUGCAUCAUUACAGAAGACACUCAGGCAGGCCGAGGUGCUCAAUGCCCAGAUACCCCAAGGAAUGGCCACCAACAUUAUCAUAGCGGGCCAUAGCAGUCACCUGGACAACAAAAUGUGAGGCUGGAUGAACACAGCAGGCCA